rnacentral:rRNA from 1 species
ACUACGGGUGGCAGCAGGGGGGAAUAUGGGACAAUGGGGGGAACCCUGAUCCAGCGACGCCGCGUGAGUGAAGAAGUAUUUCGGUAUGUAAAGCUCUAUCAGCAGGGAAGAAAGAAAUGACGGUACCUGACUAAGAAGCCCCGGCUAACUACGUGCCAGCAGCCGCGGAAAUACGUAGGGGUCAAGCGUUAUCCGGAUUUACUGGGUGUAAAGGGAGCGUAGACGGCGAUGCAAGUCUGAAGUGAAAGGCAGGGGCCCAACCCCCGGACUGCUUUGGAAACUGGAUGGCUGGAGUGCAGGAGAGGUAAGUGGAAGUCCUGGUGUAGCGGUGAAAUGCGUAGAUAUUAGGAGGAACACCAGUGGCGAAGGCGGCUUACUGGACUGUAACUGACGUUGAGGCUCGAAAGCGUGGGGAGCAAACAGGAUUAGAUACCCCUGUAGUC